CUCCCUGCUCCGGAGCCCGGCUGGCUACCCACACCUGCACCUCGUUUACCUCCAUCCCCGGCCGCCGCACCUGCCAGCCAUCAGCCUCAUCACUGCCAGUAUAUCUACCCCGGCUUUCCACUCCACCCUCGCUCGAUCGUCGCAGCUCUUGACCUGGUUCACUCACCUCUGCCUCCCAGCUCGGCCAGCCGGGCUCGCUCGCCUGCCUCCUCCUCUCGCCGCCUCCACGACCCCCCCCGGCUUCUCCACUCGCACCCCGCCUGGACCCCCGUCUCCGUGUCCUCACCUACCCGUCUGCCAGCCUCCCCCCUAGCCUCCAGCCUUGUGCCCUCCGUUCCUCCAGCUUCUCGGUUCCCCGAGUCCUCGUCUGCCUCUCCCCCUCC